rnacentral:rRNA from 1 species
AGAGUUUGAUCCUGGCUCAGGAUGAACGCUGGCGGCGUGCCUAACACAUGCAAGUCGAGCGAAGCGCCUUACUUGAUUUCUUCGGGAUGAAAGUAUUGUGACUGAGCGGCGGACGGGUGAGUAACGCGUGGAUAACCUGCCUCAUACAGGGGGAUAACAGUUAGAAAUGACUGCUAAUACCGCAUAAGACCACAGCACCGCAUGGUGCAGGGGUAAAAACUCCGGUGGUAUGAGAUGGAUCCGCGUCUGAUUAGCUAGUUGGUAAGGUAACGGCUUACCAAGGCAACGAUCAGUAGCCGACCUGAGAGGGUGACCGGCCACAUUGGGACUGAGACACGGCCCAAACUCCUACGGGAGGCAGCAGUGGGGAAUAUUGCACAAUGGGGGAAACCCUGAUGCAGCGACGCCGCGUGAGCGAUGAAGUAUUUCGGUAUGUAAAGCUCUAUCAGCAGGGAAGAUAAUGACGGUACCUGACUAAGAAGCACCGGCUAAAUACGUGCCAGCAGCCGCGGUAAUACGUAUGGUGCAAGCGUUAUCCGGAUUUACUGGGUGUAAAGGGAGCGUAGACGGAUGGGCAAGUCUGAUGUGAAAACCCGGGGCUCAACCCCGGGACUGCAUUGGAAACUGUUCAUCUAGAGUGCUGGAGAGGUAAGUGGAAUUCCUAGUGUAGCGGUGAAAUGCGUAGAUAUUAGGAGGAACACCAGUGGCGAAGGCGGCUUACUGGACAGUAACUGACGUUGAGGCUCGAAAGCGUGGGGAGCAAACAGGAUUAGAUACCCUGGUAGUCCACGCCGUAAACGAUGACUACUAGGUGUGGGGGUUUCAACACCUCCGUGCCGCCGCUAACGCAUUAAGUAUUCCGCCUGGGGAGUACGACCGCAAGGUUGAAACUCAAAGGAAUUGACGGGGACCCGCACAAGUAGCGGAGCAUGUGGUUUAAUUCGAAGCAACGCGAAGAACCUUACCUACACUUGACAUCCCUUGCAUUACUCUUAAUCGAGGAAAUCCCUUCGGGGACAAGGUGACAGGUGGUGCAUGGUUGUCGUCAGCUCGUGUCGUGAGAUGUUGGGUUAAGUCCCGCAACGAGCGCAACCCUUGUCGUUAGUUACUACCAUUAAGUUGAGGACUCUAGCGAGACUGCCUGGGUUAACCAGGAGGAAGGUGGGGAUGACGUCAAAUCAUCAUGCCCCUUAUGUGUAGGGCUACACACGUGCUACAAUGGCUGGUACAGAGAGAUGCAAUACCGCGAGGUGGAGCCAAACUUAAAAACCAGUCUCAGUUCGGAUUGUAGGCUGAAACUCGCCUACAUGAAGCUGGAAUCGCUAGUAAUCGCGAAUCAGAAUGCCGCGGUGAAUACGUUCCCGGGU